rnacentral:rRNA from 1 species
UACGAAGGGGGCGAGCGUUGUUCGGAAUUACUGGGCGUAAAGGGCGCGCAGGCGGCCUUAGAAGUCAGAUGUGAAAGCCCCGGGCUCAACCUGGGAAUGGCAUUUGAUACUCUGAGGCUGGAGUACGGGAGAGGAGAGUGGAAUUCCCAGUGUAGAGGUGAAAUUCGUAGAUAUUGGGAAGAACACCGGUGGCGAAGGCGGCUCUCUGGACCGUAACUGACGCUGAGGCGCGAAAGCGUGGGGAUCAAACAGG